GAUGAACGCUGGCGGCGUGCCUAACACAUGCAAGUCGAACGGACAGACGAGGAGGUUUCGUUUUUUACGGGAGCGGCGGGCGGGUGUGUAACAUGUGUAGAACCCACCUUUAAGGCUGGGAUUACCUCGGGAAACCGGAGCUUAUACCGGAUUAUAUAUUCAAGCGCAUGGUGGGGUAGUUAAUGGCGGCUUUGCUGGCACUUAUCGCUGGUUCCGUGCCGCAUUAGCUAGUGUGUGAGGUAACGGCUUACCAAGGCCACGAUGCGUAGCCGAACUGAGAGGAUGAUCGGCCACACUGGAACUGAGACACGGUCCAGACUCCUACGGGAGGCAGCAGUCGGGAAUAUUGCGCAAUGGGCGAAAGCCUGACGCAGCAACGCCGCGUGUGUGAUGAAGGUCUUCGGAUCGUAAAACUCUGUUAUGAGGGAAGAACAAAUGUGUACGUAACCAUGCACGCAUUGACGGUACCUGCUCAGAAAGCACCGGCUAACUACGUG
rnacentral:rRNA from 1 species